rnacentral:rRNA from 1 species
AUUGAACGCUGGCGGCAGGCCUAACACAUGCAAGUCGAACGGUAACAGGAAGAAGCUUGCUUCUUUGCUGACGAGUGGCGGACGGGUGAGUAAUGUCUGGGAAACUGCCUGAUGGAGGGGGAUAACUACUGGAAACGGUAGCUAAUACCGCAUAACGUCGCAAGACCAAAGAGGGGGACCUUCUGGCCUCUUGCCAUCGGAUGUGCCCAGAUGGGAUUAGCUAGUAGGUGGGGUAACGGCUCACCUAGGCGACGAUCCCUAGCUGGUCUGAGAGGAUGACCAGCCACACUGGAACUGAGACACGGUCCAGAGUCCUACGGGAGGCAGCAGUGGGGAAUAUUGCACAAUGGGCGCAAGCCUGAUGCAGCAAUGCCGCGUGUAUGAAGAAGGCCUUCGGGUUGUAAAGUACUUUCAGCGGGGAGGAAGGGAGUAAAGUUAAUACCUUGGCUCAUUGACGUUACCCGCAGAAGAAGCACCGGCUAACUCCGUG